AUCCGACAGAACAUGUCAUGUCAUUUGUAGACUGUCCCUUGGAGAUCGCUGACGUCAUCACCAGCCAUAGCGAGCAAUGUUUUAUCCGCAUUUGAAAGACAGCGACUCUAAAAGAAAACACAGUUGUAGAUCAUAGUUAUACAUGGUAGUACUAAUAAUAAUCUCAUACGAACCUUUUUGCACAGACAAUGAAAUCAUAACUUCGAAUAUGUGAAUAUGAAACCAACUUUACCGCAGUGUUUACUCUCGGUUUGGACACAAAGCAGAGCACGAGCCCUAGACAUAUAAAUACCUAGACGCCUCAUUGGCCGCUGGAUCGUACGUCAGCGUCGCCGCCAUCUUGGUGCGGGCAUCUUUUCCAGCGUUCUCAUAAGUGCACUCGAGAAAACGCCUCAGUCGUGUGCUGCUUGGGGCUGUACAAACCGCCGCACAAUUGAGAAGAGGCCUCGGGGAAUUACUUUACACAGCCUUUGGCAACCAGGAGAGCUGAGGACUGUUCUCAGAUUUCCCAAGAGAUGGAACCUCCUCUGCCUAAUGUUGAGGCUGGAAUAACAAUCCUACUGCAGGCCAGUUCCAGGGCAUUUUCCGCCAUCUCAUGGUCCGGUGCGGUGUCUCACCAAGCAUUUCAGGAAGUGUGGUAGAACAGAACGAGACCGUGUCCCUAUCGGCUGUUGAGAUGUCGUCGACUCGAGCAGCAGAAGAAUCUGAAGACCUUCCAUCCCCUUUUGUAAACAUCUCUGCACUUGUGUGUGACCACAGCUACCUGCCAACCCGUCUUGGGAGCCUUG